CAAAGGUUGAGUCCAUGAAACAACCUGCAGCCCCGGAAUCUAUCAACGCGCGUGUCCAGAAGCCUGGCCCAAUCUCCAGGAUGUGACUAUGGGCAUAGUUAAUUGAGUGAUGAGGCGCUGAGACCCACUGACCUUUGGUUCCUGGUGGGACUCCAUCGGUGGCGGAGGGCGAACCGGGCAAGAGGCGCGGAGGUGUCUAGGAUCUCCACAGUACAGGCACAAUCUGUCUCUGAAUCAGUGUUGUCUCUCGGCAGACGACAUCCACCCUUGUCUGAGCUGCAUGGGCUCCGGUGUCUCGGGAAGAGAUCUGAACAUUGCUGGAGCCACCUAGGGCUGCGGAGCCCUUUCCCGGCCAGGUUGUCGAUGGCCACGGACCGGUCGAAGGUCUGGUCUUCUCCUCGCAACUCGUAGGUGGUGGGAGAGCGCUUGCUACAGACUGCCAUAGCCCAUUUCAACACCGGACCCGUCAGCAAUGAGUUCAGGUAGGUGAUCUUGCUGUCAUCUGUUUGAUAAACAUGCGGCAGAUUGGCAAAAACUAACUCACACUGGAGCAGGAAGCCUUGGCAGACGUCAGGAGUCCCGUCGUACCUUUCAGGCGUGGCCAGGAGAGGGUCCGUGGCAGAGACGGGCAGAGCCGGGGCUGACGGUAUUAGCCAACACAGACGAGGGCGGCUCGGAAGCGGCAUCCGCGUCAGCUGCCUCCAAAAUGCCCCUUGCCUGGAACGGUAGGAUAAGUCCCUGCAGGGUCUCCAUGAGCUGUUUCAGAGUCUGAUCAUGUGAGCCCAGCAUGGCAUCUUGUGCAGAGACCGCGGUUUGGAGAAUCUUCAGAACCGUUGGGUCUAUUUAUGAGGCGGAACCUUCUGUCAUGCCAAGGCGUUGGGUCACGGGGAGCCAGAGCCCAACCUGGCAACAGGACACACCCAGGAUGGGACACCCGUCUGUCGCCAGGCACCCCAAGCAGGACUCAAACCCCAGACCCAUUGGACAGCAGGACCCAGUCCAACCCACUGCGCCACUGCACCCCGCUUGAAGUAAUACCUGUGUUUUUAAAUUAAAUGAUUAGUUCUGUUCUUGCUUUACUAUUCCAACACCAGGGGUACAUUAAAGCCAUUUUACAGCUGAUUAUCACACUUCAAACCAAGGAACUACAACAUGGGUGACAUCUGAGACACCUUCUCUACUGUCUUGUAGGCUACUCUUUACAUUGUACAACUGCAGUUUUACUUUGUAAUGUAUAACUAUGAAUUAUAUUUAUCUCUCCGAAACUGCACUAAGUUUGAUUUUCUGGCGGCCCAUAUAAUGUAAAUAACAGUAUGUGUGCUUAACAGAAACAUCUUUUUCCCCCUUUUCUGCAAAGUCAUUAACUUUCUGCCAGCGUUCACCCCAGUGAAGAGAAUAUGAGCUACCAUAAUUUCCCUGCAGGGUUGGAAAUAUUUAAUUAACAUUAAUUAUGUAACUCGCCACUGAUGUGCCUGCUGUUUUGAAAACAGACACAGCGUGUGUUUUGCAUUAAAUAUCAUGGAUUUGAAAGUUAUACACAGUGGAUAACUGAAUAUGUCAGAAUCUCUUUUUGUCAGUCUUUCAGGGAGGGUGGUAAUGUGAAGACAGAGAAUGGUGACCUGGGGGCUCAAAUGAUAGAUAGAUAGAUAGAUAGAUAGAUGAGGGCCACGGAAUACCUGGCUCUGACCAUCUCCGACACCAUCCACAGCACUUAAAGUCUGCAAAGCAAACAGCUGCGGGUGUUGAUGGGACACCGGAGAGCAGACCAGCAGCACGCCGUACAUCCGGCAGCCUGGCGCCAAAAGGACAAAGUAAAGACCUCAUCAAAAAACAUUUACUUUGGCUCAUUUAAGACGUAACGCGGAGCCGUUAAGCUGUUUAGGGGCCACGGAUGCGGCUCGUAUGAUUCCCGGCGGCCAGCUACGCGGAGCGUGGAC
rnacentral:lncRNA from 1 species